UUUAAUAUUGCUUGAUUUUGUUAAUAUGGGAUCCACUUUUUUUUUCCCGUGAGUUUGGAUGUGGUGGAGUCCACUUUUUUUUCUUCUCUUUUUUUUUUUAUUACUGGUUGGUGUUUAAUAUGGGAUCCACCUUUUUUUCCCGUGAGUUUGGAUGUGGUGGGUUCUACUUUUUUUUCUUCUCUUUUUUUUAUUACUGGUUGGUGUUUAAUAUGAGACCCACAAUUUUUUAAAAAAAUAUUAGUAGUUGUUUAAAAUAUGUGGCUCACAAUUUUUUUUUAAAUAUUAGUAGUUGUUUAAAAUAUGUGGGCCCAUAAUUUUUAAAAAAAAAUAUUAAUAGUUGUUUAAAAUAUGUGGGCCACAAUUUUUUUUUUGGGCCCACAAACGGACGACGAAGUGCACCAUCCGGUGCUUCUAAUAUAGUAGAAAUAUAAAAAAAAUACAAUUAACCUUAAAACCAAAGUAAUUUAAUACAAAAAAUAUUUCAUAAAAGUGAGAACUUGUCUACCAAUUUGGCUGAGGUUAUAGCAAAGUUGUUAAACACAUACAUAUUGUUACACCCUGUACUUUUAUAUGUAAAAUUUCGUCGUGAGUUAACUGACGAAGACUUAGAAGGCGAGGCUGUCGUCAAGGUCAUAAGGAAUUAUUCAUGUUCAUUCUUCAUACAUGAGAGCUUGGCAUCAUGUUUAUUAAGUAUCGGGAAGGUUGGAUGUUAAGCGGAUCAAAGAAAUUAAGUUUGUUGAAACUUUGGGAAAAUUUGGCAGAAUUCCGGACAGAAAUUUGGGUCAUCUUGUGAGGGCCAUAUCUCCUAGAAUAUGAGGAGUUACGGAACCCAUAACCUAUGCAUUCAUAAGUUCAGCGAGUCUACUUUCCAAUGAGACUGACAGAUCUGAGUUUGCAAUUCGACGGUGGAAUUUAUGGGCCGUCGAAGUGUCGAUGACCCGUCGAUGCACAUCGACGACCCAUCAGAUUUCAAACGCUGUAGCUGAUCUAUAUAAGCACCUAUUUCGUGAUUUUUUUCAUUCCAACCCACACCAACAGACCCUAAACACUCUCGAAUAUUUACCAAUACUCUCCCAACCUUUCUUUAUCAUCCAAGCAAGAUCCGAGCCCCAAAAACCCGAGCUAGUGAAAGAGAAGUUGUUCCUAGGGUUUCUAUUUGAAGUUGUUGAGCUUAGGAGUUGGAUUUGAAGUUUGGUUCUUGGUAUUCCAGCCCUUUUAAGUGUUGCAAGCUUGGGAAGUACGCAUCGGACUUUAGGUAGACUCCAAGGUACCGAUAGACAGGGAGACGAUCCGGCUCAGUAGGACUUCCCCUCCGCUGUAAUUGGUGCGCUCCACUCGAUCCGGAGUUGCGGUCCAUUUUGAUAUGUUAUUUUGAGAUGUAUAUACAUGUAUAUGGGUAUGGCGGGGCCCUGUCCCGUCCCUUCUACAACUUUCUGUUCCAUUAGAGGUCUGUAGACAGUGGUAUGUAGUUGGUACAUGAUGUAGCCUUGUCGGCUCUCAUUCUUUUGUGUAUAGUAUCUAUAUAGCAGCCUAGUCGGCUUGCACUGUUAUUUCGGUAUUUUGCAUAUAUAUACAGUUAGAUAUGAAUCAGAUUUGGGUCA